AACCCAUGGUGAGAACACCUUUUCAAUAAAUCUUUAUACCUCUCCCAUGUAUCAUAUAGAGUAUCUAGAUCCAUUUGCACGAAGGAAGAGAUAUCAUUCCUCAGCUU
rfam:Gossypium arboreum cultivar AKA8401 contig_108707_1, whole genome shotgun sequence.